rnacentral:tRNA from 1 species
AUUUAAGUAGUUUAAUAAAAAUAUUAAUUUGUGGAGUUAAAGAUGUAAUUUAUACCUUAAAUU